AAGUCGUACGAGAGUUUUAACUCUAGUGGCGGACGGGUGAGUAACGCGUGAGAAUUUGCCCGCAGGAGGGAAAUAACACCGGGAAACUGGUGCUAAAGUCCCAUAUACCUUUUGGUAAAAUAGAGCAAUCUGCCUGCGGAAAAGCUCGCGUCUGAUUAGCUUGUUGGUGGGGUAAAGGCCUACCAAGGCGAUGAUCAGUAGCUGGUCUGAGAGGACGAUCAGCCACACUGGAACUGAGACACGGUCCAGACUCCUACGGGAGGCAGCAGUGAGGAAUUUUCUGCAAUGGGCGAAAGCCUGACAGAGCAAUACCGCGUGAGGGAUGACGGCCUUUGGGUUGUAAACCUCUUUUUUCAAGGAGGAAGUUCUGACGUGUACUUGAAGAAUAAGCAUCGGCUAACUCCGUGCCAGCAGCCGCGGUAAGACGGAGGAUGCAAGUGUUAUCCGGAAUUAUUGGGCGUAAAGCGUCUGUAGGUUGCUUAUUAAGUCUGUGGUUAAAGGUUAAAGCUCAACUUUAAAACUGCCAUAGAAACUGGUAGGCUCGAGUAUUGUCGAAGUAGAAGGAAUUUCCAGUGAAGCGGUGAAAUGCGUAGAUAUUGGAAGGAACACCAAUGGCGAAAGCAUUCUACUAGGCUACUACUGACACUGAGAGACGAAAGCUAGGGUAGCAAAUGGGAUUAGAUACCCCAGUAG
rnacentral:rRNA from 1 species